AUGAUUUGCUAUGGAAUUCAUUCGUUCAUCCUCGUUCGAAUGUUUAUUGUGAAGACUAUAUGUUGCAAUUUCUAUCCGUUGAUUCUACUUAUCUAUUUGUCUAUUAAGAUGCUAACGGAUGUCACCCUCUUCAGGAUGGCUCCGCCAACGCGUCAGAAUCCGGAUCGCAAUGAAGGGAGUCAAGCGAACCCUCCGCCACCACCUCCGCCUCCGGAGGCAUGGCAAGCUAUCAUGGCAGCCACCAACGCCAAUGCUCAGAUGAUUCUGCAACUCUUGCAGGAACGUACCCAAGGGCAAGGCAAUCAAGGAAAUCAAGGUCAAGGCAACAAUCAGCCUAACUUCGCUACACUCAACCAGUUUCUCGCAAAUCAGCCCAAGUCUUUCAGCUACUGUGCCGAGGCCACGGAUGCCGAUGAUUGGCUCGUGGACAUCAACAAGCAUUUUGAAUGUAGCAAUGUCAGGCCUGAGGACUAUGUCAAGUUCGCUUCUUUUCAGCUCAAGGACCAAGCUGCUGAUUGGUAUCAACAAUACAAAGAUUCCAGAGGAGGUCGUGUGAUCACUUGGACUGACUUCUGUCGGGACUUCAAAGCGCACCAAAUUCCACAAAGUGUUGUUGAGAGCAAGCGUGAGGAGUUCCGCAAUCUCAAGCAAGGCAACAUGUCUGUGUAUCAAUACAACAUCCAGUUUCAGAAACUUGCUCGCUUCGCUAAACAAGACGUUCCUGAUGAAAAGAGCAUGAUCUAUCACUUCAGAGGUGGCCUUAGAGAGGAUCUGCAGUUAGCUCUCGUUCUAGUUGAGCCUACUCAGUUUGAUCAAUUCUACAAUAUGUCACUGAAGCAAGAGGCUGCUCAGCUCAAGUGUGAGGCUUCUAAGAAGAGAGUCAGAGACGCAGUUCAGUCUUCUUCUUCCUCACUUGUGACAGCUAAGCAACAGAAGUUCUGGUUGCCUCCUCCUCCUCCGUUUCGUCAGCCUUACCAGCAGAAGAACAAAGGUGGCCAUGGUUCUUCCAACUCUUCCAACUCUGGCUAUCAGAACAAGUCUCAGAAUCAAGGUCCAAAGUCCAAUGCUCCUUAUCACCGUCCACUUUCAGAGGUGACUUGCAACAAGUGUCAGCAGAAAGGUCACUAUGCUAACAAGUGCUUGAACCAAAGGCGUCUGCUUCCUCCUCCUCCUGUCAGAUCUUCCAGCAAUGCAGUGGUCAAGCAUAACCCAAAGUCUGCAAAGGUGAACAUGAUGAAUGCAGCUCAAGCAGAGGAAUCUACUGAUGUGAUAAUGGGUAAUCUUCCUGUUAAUGAUAUUCCUGCAAAAGUUCUUUUUGAUACUGGUGCAUCGCAUUCUUUCAUUUCUAGACCUUCUGUGGCUAUGCAUGAUCUGGUUACUGAAGUAUUGCCCAGUCCUCUGUCUAUUGUUUCUCCGGCUCGACAACUGACUUCUCGAGCAUUCGUUCGGGAUUCCGCAAUCAAGAUGGGCGAUUAUGAAUUUCUGUCUUCUCCAAUUGUUCUUGGUGACUCGGAUAUUGAUCUUAUUCUCGGGAUGGACUGGCUUUCUAAGCACAAGGCUCAACUUGAUUGUGCUGCCAGGGAAAUUCAAUUGACACACUCUUCUGAGGAUGUGAUUAUUUAUGCCGCUCGUGAUGAAACCAUUCGGUUGUUUUCUCUCAAUGAGAAGGCCGAAUUGAAUGCCAUCUCUCAAAUUCCAGUCGUUUGUGAGUAUCAAGAUGUCUUUCCAGAAGAGCUUCCGGGUAUGCCUCCUCACCGGCCAGUUGAGUUCGUUAUCGAACUAGAGCCUGGCACUGAACCCGUUUGCAAGCGUCCAUACAAGCUUGGACCCAACGAGCUGAAGGAAUUGAAGAAACAGCUCGAUGAACAAGAGCGUCUGGGUUUGAUCAGACCGAGUUCUUCCCCAUGGGGUUGUGGUGUUCUUUUUGUCAAGAAGAAGGAUGGCACGGACCGACUUUGUGUCGACUAUCGUCCAUUGAACAAGAAGACAAUCAAGAACAAGUAUCCACUUCCCAACAUCAAUGAGUUAUUCGAGCAACUCAAAGGUGCUAAAGUAUUCUCGAAGCUUGACCUUCGUAUGGGUUAUCAUCAGAUUCGCAUUCGUGAAGAAGAUAUUCCCAAGACAGCAUUCAGAACAAGCUUUGGUUCUUAUGAAUAUACUGUCGUGUCUUUCGGCCUUGUCAAUGCUCCUCCAGUGUUCUCUCGA
rnacentral:rRNA from 1 species